AAGUCUCUUUGGCUAACUGCAACAGGAAGAAGGUUGCCUUCUGACGCAGUGAUACUUAAGGAUACCAUCAGGCCAGGAUGAGAUUAAUUCUGUGGCUUAUUUUGUCUUUAGACAGUUACCGUCUGUAUCUAUGGAUUUGCUCAUACAUAGAAGGUUUACGGGACCAGCUGGACCAAGACUGUAUCUCUGCUGUCUGUGUACCA
rnacentral:lncRNA from 1 species